rnacentral:tRNA from 1 species
GCGCCCGUAGCUCAGUCCGGACAGAGUGACAGACUUCGAAUCUGGGGGCCGCAGGUUCAAAUCCUGCCGGGCGCGCCA